UUCUUCCAUUAAUGAUACGAAUCCCUUUUUAAAGGCUUACAAAACAAAUAAACAAUCAAAUAACUAACCUAAACAUGGCCACUAACCCACUACUUUAAUUUAACUAACAAUUAGGAAACAUGGAAGAAAUGCAAAUAUGCAAUAGCAAAUAUGAGAACGUGCAGAUGUAUGUACGUCAACUUCAACCACAUGAACAUUUGACAAAAACAUGGAUGUAGUAGGUGAAAGAGGUGGCUGUGUGGUAACUUGUUUCCUCAGGUGGGGUUUAGCAAGUGUAAACGGAUCAUGUGAUGGUGUUGCAAGGGUUGGCUGUGGUAGUACAACAGGUU
rnacentral:lncRNA from 1 species